UACGUAGGGUGCAAGCGUUGUCCGGAAUUACUGGGCGUAAAGGGCGCGUAGGCGGCCUGUUAAGUCCGAACGUGGAAUCCCCGGGCUCAACCCGGGAACUGCGUCCGAUACUGGCAGGCUUGAAUCCGGGAGAGGGAUGCGGAAUUCCAGGUGUAGCGGUGAAAUGCGUAGAUAUCAGGAGGAACACCGGUGGCGAAGGCGGGUCUCUGGGCAGUAACUGACGCUGAGGAGCGAAAGCGUGGGGAGCGAACAGG
rnacentral:rRNA from 1 species